AGUAGUUGUGGUUGUUGUUGUGGACGUUGUUGUUGUCGUCGUCGUUGUAGUUGUUGGCUCCGUCGUCGUAGUCGUUGUUGUGGAUGUCGUCGUAGUAGUUUCACAAGGAGCUGUUGAUGUCGUUGUUGGCUCAGUAGUUGUGGUUGUUGGCUCAGUAGUCGUGGUCGUUGUUGUUGUUGUAGUAGUUGUGGUUGUUGUUGUGGACGUUGUUGUUGUCGUUGUCGUUGUUGUUGUGGUUGAAGACGUUGUUUCACAGGGUGCUGGAGUUGUUGUUGUCGUUGUCGGUUCAGUUGUGGUUGUCGUUGUCGGUUCAGUACUUGUGGUUGUUGGCUCAGUAGUCGUGGUCGUUGUUGUCGUUGUAGUUGUUGUCGUUGUCGUCGUUGUUGUGGAUGUCGUCGUAGUAGUUUCACAAGGAGCUGUUGAUGUCGUUGUCGGCUCAAUAGUUGUGGUUGUUGGCUCAGUAGUCGUGGUCGUUGUUGUGGUUGUAGUCGUU